rnacentral:rRNA from 1 species
UACGAAGGGGGCUAGCGUUGUUCGGAAUUACUGGGCGUAAAGCGCACGUAGGCGGAUUGUUAAGUUAGGGGUGAAAUCCCGGGGCUCAACCCCGGAACUGCCUUUAAUACUGGCAAUCUCGAGUCCGAGAGAGGUGAGUGGAAUUCCGAGUGUAGAGGUGAAAUUCGUAGAUAUUCGGAAGAACACCAGUGGCGAAGGCGACUGACUGGACAAGUAUUGACGCUGAGGUACGAAAGCGUGGGGAGCAAACAGG